rnacentral:lncRNA from 7 species
AAAGAGAAAGAAAAAAGAAAAUAGAAAUAAAAAGAGACAGAAAAAUAUGAAAAAAAGAAAAAAGAAAAGAAACAGUAGAUGAAAAAAGAAAAACAAAAGGAAAAACGAAUAAUGACAAGAGAAGAAAGGUAAAGAGAAAAGAAGAAAAAAGCCAAGUCAAAAAGUAAAGAAUAACUCGAAGGAAGGAGUGGAUGGCAAGAAAUACAGAGAAAGCAGUGCAUAGCACAGCAGAGCAAAGCAAGGCAAAAUAGCAGCCAAAGCCACGAGAAUCAAGAAGUCAGUGAAGAGCAGGAAAGGAAUGGAGGAAUCUGUCCAGAGCUGUGCCCCUGCUUGCCACAGGAGCUGCGCGGGAGGAGAAGAACGUGGGCCAAAAGGUAAGAGGAGCUCCUUUGGGUUCUGGGCUUGAAGCAAAGCUGAGAAGCCAUGCCCGGGAGGAGGUGUGGGUAGCUACAGGCCACCUUGCUAUCUCCCCAAGAGAUGAGGUGUGUGGGCUAGGCACCGGGCAGGAGUGCUGGCCAGAAGCAAGCAUCUCUGUGGAGGAAGGCAAAGGGCGGAGGAGGUUCAAGGGUAGCUACCGGGCAUGGCCUUGCUCAGCAAGGGGAGGAAAAGCCUGAAGGGCACGAGAAGGGGAUAGAGAAGGGCAGGCAGUAGGCGUGAAGCUGCGAGCAGAGUAGAGAGCAACUUGGCAGAGCAGCAAGCAGAGUAGGCAAGUGUUGAGGUUUGGCGUGAGUAGCAGCAAAAGCCCAGAGCAUCAAGAAGCAGGAAGUGAGGAGAAGGUAAGUGAAGGGCAGGCAAGGUAAUGGGAGGCAAAGGCAAGGGGAAAGGGGGGGGUAAGGGAGAAAGAAGGGAUGGGGAUGGGAGGGGAUGGGUGAAGAGCAGAGCGGAGGGAAGGGCUGAGGGGAGGGCUGAAGGCAAACCUAUGAUGAAAAAAGAAAAGAAAAAAUAAGAACAAAAAAUAUGAAAAAAAGAAAAAAAGAAGAAAAAUAAGAAAAAGAAAAAAUGAAAAGAAAAAAAGAAAAAAAUGAAAAAAAGAGAAAAGAAAAAAAUGAAAAAAAGAGAAAAAAGAGAAAAGAAAAAGAAAAAAUGAACAAAAAAGAGUAAAAAGAGAAAAAAUGAAAAAAAGAGAAAAAAGAGAAAAGAAAAAAAGAACAUGAACAAAAAAGAGAAAAAAGAGAAAAGAUAAAAAAAGAAAAAGAUAAAGAAAAGAGAAAGAAAAAAGAAAUAGAAAUAAAAAAGAGGACAGAAAAAUAUGAAAAAAAAGAAAAAAAAAGAAAGAAAAAAACAGUAGAUGAAAAAAGAAAAAACAAAAGGAAAAACGAAUAAUGACAAGAGAAGAAAGGUAAAGAGAAAAGAAGAAAAAAGCCAAGUCAAAAAGUAAAGAAUAACUCGAAGGAAGGAGUGGAUGGCAAGAAAUACAGAGAAAGCAGUGCAUAGCACAGCAGAGCAAAGCAAGGCAAAAUAGCAGCCAAAGCCACGAGAAUCAAGAAGUCAGUGAAGAGCAGGAAAGGUAAGUUUCCCUUAAAGCAAGGGGGAAUGGUAGUGGAAGGGAGAAAAGAGAGGGGAGGGGAGGGGAAGUGAAGGAGUGGGGGGAGAGGGGGAGGAGCAGUGGGGAAAGCGGUGGGGCUAGAGGGGGGUGAGGGGGGCAAGAGGGGGGAGGGAGGAGGGGUGGAGAGGGGGGUGAGUAAGUGGGGGCGUGGGUGGACGGGGGGGGGGGAGAGGGUGGGAAGGAAAAAUUGGAGGUAGGGUGAGGGAAGGGGAGGGUUGAAGGGAAAAUAAUGAAACAGAGGAAAAAAG